rnacentral:rRNA from 1 species
CAGUAGCCACGGUAAUACGGAGGAUCCAAGCGUUAUCCGGAAUCAUUGGGUUUAAAGGGUCCGUAGGCGGUCUUGUAAGUCAGUGGUGAAAGCCCAUCGCUCAACGGUGGAACGGCCAUUGAUACUGCAGGACUUGAAUUAUUGGGAAGUAACUAGAAUAUGUAGUGUAGCGGUGAAAUGCUUAGAGAUUACAUGGAAUACCAAUUGCGAAGGCAGGUUACUACCAAUUGAUUGACGCUGAUGGACGAAAGCGUGGGUAGCGAACAGGAUUAGAUACCCGGGUAGUCCCUGUCUCUUAUAC